CACACGCACGCACGCACACACACACACACGCACGCACGCACACACGCACACACACACAAACAGAUACAGACACACACACACACACACACACACACACACACACACACAAACAGACACACACACACACACACACGCACACACACACCACACGCACACACACAGCCACACGCACACACAGCCACACAGACACACACAGACACACACACACACACACACACACACAUACAUAACCUGUCCAAUCAGAGCAAAAGAAAAUAAAAUUGCUCCAUCCGGUAGGUGAUGUUAUAAGCACCAUAAGUUUAUAGAAGAAGAAGGCCUCACCCACCCUCUAGGUAUAAAAAUACUCUGUACUUCGAAGAUCGUGUGUGAGCUUACAACAUGUCUGCUGCUUGUCCUGAUGCACCGAAAAAAACUCACUCUUUUUUGGGAAGAUUACAAAAAAAUUUAGAGCAUGAAAAGAUUCAAUAUUGGGUAAUGUCAAACGGAUGUACAGCCGGAUUUUUUUCAGUGCAGAAAAAGGAACCGUUGUGCUUUUCAAGUUCUCGGUCCCGGGUCACAUCCGCUGGAGCUGCGCUACUGAGAGCGUAACUUUUAACGAGUGUGACUGGAGAAAGUUCAGAAAAUGGUGCAAGGAAUUUGACUACAUUAUUAGAAUGGACUUCUUUUCCCCGGAUGCGUACAGGCGUAAAUGGAGCAGUUCAUCUCUGCAAUGCAAAUACCGCAUCAGAGCAACAAAUUUCUGCAAGAACCAGGUUUCGCUGCACUGUGUUUCGGUAUUAACCGGUGACGACACACACUUUCACAAAGAGAUCAUAAUUAUCGCUGCAUGUUCUUUACCAUAUAGCUUUCCCAUGAAUACCAACCCAACCCACUACACAAGAUGAGGGCGUCGUGACUAUCAGUGCUUACGGCGGAGAUAUUUCAGAUACGAGUGAUGUCGAAAAUUUUGAUGCAGUAGAAGAUCGAGAGGAAAUCAACUCGGAAGCCGACAUUCGACCCGAUCUGGAAUUGC